rnacentral:lncRNA from 12 species
ACAUUUCAAUAUGCCCCUGACUUCUAAGGGGUGUUUUUAUUUGUGACUACUCCAAAAAGCCUAGAUUUCUAUCAGUAGAACAUCACAUUAUUCUUUUCUGUUUGCAGGAAGAUUUGGUGUUGAUGGAGGAGGCAACAUCUUCAAGGCAAAACCUUAGACCUGAUGCAACAUCAUCCAGUGUCAAAAUCACCCUUUAGGAGGCACUUGAAGACCAGUGCCCAAUAUGCACAGGAACAUUUCCAGUGUCAGAAGUAGACCUGCCAUGCCAACUUUUGUGGAGACAGGUAAUGGUAAUAGUGACUCUCAUUGAAGCUUAAAAACACCUAAAAGGUGCUCUAAAUUGGGUCAUACCUCACGGUACCUUCCUAUGUUCAUUACAUUAGUUCAAAACAGUACAUUGC